rnacentral:rRNA from 1 species
AUUGAACGCUGGCGGCAGGCCUAACACAUGCAAGUCGAGCGGCAGCGACUUAACUGAACCUUCGGGGAACGUUAAGGGCGGCGAGCGGCGGACGGGUGAGUAAUGCCUGGGAAUAUGCCCUGAUGUGGGGGAUAACUAUUGGAAACGAUAGCUAAUACCGCAUAAUCUCUUCGGAGCAAAGAGGGGGACCUUCGAGCCUCUCGCGUCAGGAUUAGCCCAGGUGGGAUUAGCUUGUUGGUGAGGUAAUGGCUCGCCAAGGCGACGAUCCCUAGCUGGUCUGAGAGGAUGAUCAGCCACACUGGAACUGAGACACGGUCCAGACUCCUACGGGAGGCAGCAGUGGGGAAUAUUGCACAAUGGGGGAAACCCUGAUGCAGCCAUGCCGCGUGUGUGAAGAAGGCCUUCGGGUUGUAAAGCACUUUCAGUAGGGAGGAAGGUAGUGUAGUUAACACCUGCAUUAUUUGACGUUACCUACAGAAGAAGCACCGGCUAACUCCGUGCCAGCAGCCGCGGUAAUACGGAGGGUGCGAGCGUUAAUCGGAAUUACUGGGCGUAAAGCGCAUGCAGGCGGCCUGUUAAGUCAGAUGUGAAAGCCCGGGGCUUAACCUCGGAAUUGCAUUUGAAACUGGCAGGCUAGAGUCUUGUAGAGGGGGGUAGAAUUUCAGGUGUAGCGGUGAAAUGCGUAGAGAUCUGAAGGAAUACCGCGAAAGCGGCCCCCUGGACAAAAGACUGACGCUCAGAUGCGAAAGCGUGGGGAGCAAACAGG